UACGAAGGGGGCAAGCGUUGUUCGGAAUCACUGGGCGUAAAGCGCACGUAGGCGGCUUCUUAAGUCAGGGGUGAAAUCCUGGAGCUCAACUCCAGAACUGCCUUUGAUACUGAGAAGCUUGAGUCCGGGAGAGGUGAGUGGAACUGCGAGUGUAGAGGUGAAAUUCGUAGAUAUUCGCAAGAACACCAGUGGCGAAGGCGGCUUUCUGGACGGUAACUGACGCUGAGACGCGAAAGCGUGGGGAGCAAACAGG
rnacentral:rRNA from 1 species